AUUGAACGUUGGCGGCAGGCCUAACACAUGCAAGUCGAACGAGUGGCGGACGGGUGAGUAAUGUCUGGGUAACUGACUGAUGGAUGGGGAUAAAUACUGGAAACGGUAGCUAAUACCGCAUACCAUCGGAUGUGCCCAGAUGGGAUUCUCUAGUAGGUGGGGUAAAGGCUCACCUAGGCGACGAGCCCUUGCUGGUCUGAGAGGAUGACCAGCGACACUGGAACUGAGACACGGUCCAGACUCCUACGGGAGGCAGCAGUGGGGAAUAUUGCACAAUGGGCGCAAGCCUGAAGCAGCCAUACCGCGUGUAUGAAGAAGGCCUUCGGGUUGUAAAGUACUUUCAGCGGGGAGACGUUACCCGCAGAAGAAGCACCGGCUAACUCCGUGCCAGCAGCCGCGUAAUUC
rnacentral:rRNA from 1 species